rnacentral:rRNA from 1 species
GACGAACGCUGGCGGCGUGCUUAGCACAUGCAAGUCGAGCGGUAAGGCCCUUUCGGGGGUACACGAGCGGCGAACGGGUGAGUAACACGUGGGUGACCUGCCCUCAGCUCUGGGAUAAGCCCGGGAAACUGGGUCUAAUACUGGAUAUGACUCCAUGACGCAUGUUGUGGGGUGGAAAGCCUUGUGCGGCUGGGGAUGGGCCCGCGGCCUAUCAGCUUGUUGGUGGGGNGAUGGCCUACCAAGGCGACGACGGGUAGCCGGCCUGAGAGGGCGACCGGCCACACUGGGACUGAGACACGGCCCAGACUCCUACGGGAGGCAGCAGUGGGGAAUCUUGCGCAAUGGGCGAAAGCCUGACGUAGCGACGCCGCGUGAGGGAUGACGGCCUCGGUGUAAC